GCCGCACUGCGCGAGGCGCGCGGCCUGGGACCGCUGGAGGCAGUCCUUGAACAGGAGUACCGCGUCUCCUGCGCGGCAC
rnacentral:tRNA from 1 species